rnacentral:tRNA from 1 species
CCGUAGCUCAGUUGGUUAGAGUACUACCUUGACAUGGUAGGGGUCGGCGAUUCGAGUUCGCCCGG